CAACUACUCCCUCUGUCCCAAAUUUCUUGUCUUAGAUUUGUCUAGAUACGGAUGUAUCUAAUACUAAAAUGUGACUUGAUACAUCCGUAUCUAGACANUAGAUACGGAUGUAUCUAAUACUAAAAUGUGACUUGAUACAUCCGUAUCUAGACAAAUCUAAGACAAGAAUUUUGGGACGGAGGGAGUACUUU
rnacentral:pre_miRNA from 1 species